rnacentral:rRNA from 1 species
AGCGAACGCUGGCGGCAGGCCUAAUACAUGCAAGUCGAACGCACCUUCGGGUGAGUGGCGGACGGGUGAGUAACGCGUGGGAACGUGCCCUUUGGUACGGAACAACUGAGGGAAACUUCAGCUAAUACCGUAUGUGCCCUUCGGGGGAAAGAUUUAUCGCCAUUGGGGCGGCCCGCGUUGGAUUAGCUAGUUGGUAGGGUAAAGGCCUACCAAGGCUACGAUCCAUAGCUGGUCUGAGAGGAUGAUCAGCCACACUGGGACUGAGACACGGCCCAGACUCCUACGGGAGGCAGCAGUAGGGAAUCUUGCGCAAUGGGCGAAAGCCUGACGCAGCCAUGCCGCGUGAAUGAUGAAGGUCUUAGGAUUGUAAAAUUCUUUCACCGGGGAAGAUAAUGACGGUACCCGGAGAAGAAGCCCCGGCUAACUUCGUGCCAGCAGCCGCCGUAAAAC